rnacentral:rRNA from 1 species
CCUACGGGAGGCAGCAGUGGGGAAUAUUGGACAAUGAGCGAAAGCUUGAUCCAGCUAUGUCGCGUGUGUGAAGAAGGCCUUAGGGUUGUAAAACACUUUCAACAAAGUAAGAAGAAAAAAUGUAAUAAAAAAAUAUUUUUUUUGACGUUAUUUGUAAAAGAAGCACCGGCUAACUUCGUGCCAGCAGCCGCGGUAAU